CAUUUGUCCAACGUUGGCUGGCUAUGUACAUUUGCAUGUACAUUAAUGCUUCAUUCCUGUCCCAAGCCGUUGAGUAACUCCUCGGCUGGGUGCACAACUAUUUUUCAUUCACAAGCACACAUGCUCUGCACCAAGUCGCACACAGCUACAGACAUGCAGUCGACACCAUCAGUGUAUCGCACGGCACACACUGUCUCACGGUCCAAAUGGAUUUAUAUCUAUAUGUUAGUUGUGGAAAUAGGCGCUACGCUAAAUUUAAGUUAGCAAAGGCUAUCGAUAUGACGAUACGGAGCUGGGGACCUUUUACACCAUCAAGCUUGAGUGACUGAUUUGCAAACUGCAGUUCUCUGCCUCUUCAAAUGAAGUUUACGUUUACAACCUUGGAAGUACAAGUUUACUCUUUGAAAUCCCUCAGUCACCAAAGGAAGUUCUUUUGUUUGGAAAAAACAUGCAUUGGAAUAUCAUCUCAUUCAUCUGCAUGGGAAGUAUCAUACAGAACAGAAUCUGGCAAUAUUGCUGCCCUGAUGUCUCGUCACAUGCAUGACGAAAACAUGCCCGCCGGACACUGUCAGCAGAAUUUCCUUCUGUCGUUGCUGUGGUUACUGGAUCGAUAAUCCGGAAGGCAAUCCCGAGGCACAGCAAAGUAGCUUUGCAGUGGAUUUACACAGCUAUGAUUACGGUGUCAGCACGGUCGGAUAAAUAUUGUGUCGGAAUCUGACUUGGAGUUCAUCGUCGAUAAAAACCAGACGCCAUAAGGAGAGAUGGAUCAUGGCAACAGUGGUGACCAAAAAAAGGGUUUACCAGGCAGCAACACGAACAAGCACUCUGGCACGACAUGGCAACAUAUUAGCAGAACUGUGAAACUUAUAUUGUCAUAUAUGUAUCAAGAAGCCAUACAACCAAGAAUGGAUAGAUGCCCAGGUAUGCGUAAUGGAAAUGCACUAUUCGGUCCUGGCAGAAAAUAAUUGUCUAAUCAUUCACUGAUGGAAUGCUCAGACUGUGAUGCAAUAAAAUCAGUCUAUCGUUAAAGUGUUUAAUCCUUUCAAACUGAUUUAAAAUUAUAUCAUUGAUCCGCAAAAUUGUGAGUAAUGUCCAAUGACAGACGAGGGUUAGUGUACAAUUUCACAAUCACCCUUUGAAUGCUUAUGCUUAGAGGCUGUUGUUCAGCUUGUAUCUUUGUGAAAAAAAUCAUCCCAUAUAGGAAAUGAGAGACACAAAAUUCAACAUUAAUGUAGAUAUCGACUGAUAUAGGUCAUCCGACAGCACAGAAUUAGAUAGUUGUAAGUGAAGGAAAAAUUCACGGUUAUAUCAUUCCUUUGUGAAAGCGUGCAGCUUGGUGAUAGUUUUCAUCGAUACAAAAAAAGAGCUUGAUAUCAGAUCCAGAGAGCGCGGUGUUGGGGCGUCGUGCGCAUUAUAAUAGAGCCACUCCAAGUGGUACAGAUCUGUCGUAAAAGCCCUUUCCUUCCUGCUGAGUCCACGGCUGUGUGUUGCCGCAGCAUUUUUACAGCAGGGAUGCAGAGCCACUGUACAAACCCACUGCCAAGAAUUUCAGUGCAUUGAAUAUCGGUACUCAAUCUUGCCAGUCUCAAAUCGAAUUGUC